rnacentral:rRNA from 1 species
GAGUAUGUCUGGGAACUGCCUGAUGGAGGGGGAUAACUACUGGAAACGGUAGCUAAUACCGCAUAACGUCGCAAGACCAAAGAGGGGGACCUUCGGGCCUCUUGCCAUCGGAUGUGCCCAGAUGGGAUUAGCUAGUAGGUGGGGUAAAGGCUCACCUAGGCGACGAUCCCUAGCUGGUCUGAGAGGAUGACCAGCCACACUGGAACUGAGACACGGUCCAGACUCCUACGGGAGGCAGCAGUGGGGAAUAUUGCACAAUGGGCGCAAGCCUGAUGCAGCCAUGCCGCGUGUAUGAAGAAGGCCUUCGGGUUGUAAAGUACUUUCAGCGGGGAGGAAGGGAGUAAAGUUAAUACCUUUGCUCAUUGACGUUACCCGCAGAAGAAGCACCGGCUAACUCCGUGCCAGCAGCCGCGGUAAUACGGAGGGUGCAAGCGUUAAUCGGAAUUACUGGGCGUAAAGCGCACGCAGGCGGUUUGUUAAGUCAGAUGUGAAU